rnacentral:tRNA from 1 species
AUUUUUAUAGUGUAAUUAACACCUAACAUUUUCGUUGUUAAAAUGAAUUUUCUAAAAAUA